rnacentral:lncRNA from 1 species
UUGGCAUUUAGGAUGAUCUUGGAGAUGAUCGAAUUUGAUCGAUGUUGAUCGAUCUAGAGAUGGUCAGAUCUCAUCGACAUCUAGCCAAUCUGAAGAUGAUCAGAUCUGAUUGACACUUGGCUAAUUUAGAGGUAGUCUGAUCUAAUCGACAUCAGUCGAUCUACAAAUGAUUGGCCUAGAUCUAAUCAACAUCUAGCUGAUCUAGAGAUAGAUCUGAUCAGCAUCGGCCGAACUGAGAUGAUUGGACCUAACCAACAUUUGGGUCGAUCUGAUCUUUAGGAACUUGGUGGUGUUGGAGUGAUGCCAUAAAGUUCCUCUUAUUGGAUGCUUGCUCCUUUCCAUAAAUGGGCCUGGGA